rnacentral:RNase_P_RNA from 1 species
AGGUGGUUGCUUUGCAAAAAGAGGAAAGUCCGAGCUACACAAAGACAGGAUUCCAUCUAACAGAUGGCUAGAGUAAUCUAAGGGAAAGUGCAACAGAAAACAACCGCCACGCAAGUGGUAAGGGUGAAAAGGUGGGGUAAGAGCCUACCGACACUUAGGCAACUAGGUGUGCCGUGCAAACCCAAUCUGUAGCAAGAGAAGUAUGGUUUUUGUCUUUGAUUUUAAACUUCUCGCUUGAGAGGCAUUGUGAAAUGUUCUCCUAGAUAAAUACCCACCCAAUACAGAACUCGGCUUAUAGCUACGC